rnacentral:rRNA from 1 species
CCUACGGGUGGCAGCAGUGAGGAAUAUUGGUCAAUGGACGAGAGUCUGAACCAGCCAAGUAGCGUGAAGGAUGACUGCCCUAUGGGUUGUAAACUUCUUUUAUAUGGGAAUAAAACGUUCCACGUGUGGGAUUUUGUAUGUACCAUAUGAAUAAGGAUCGGCUAACUCCGUGCCAGCAGCCGCGGUAAUACGGAGGAUCCGAGCGUUAUCCGGAUUUAUUGGGUUUAAAGGGAGCGUAGGUGGCUUGUUAAGUCAGUUGUGAAAGUUUGCGGCUCAACCGUAAAAUUGCAGUUGAAACUGGCAGUCUUGAGUACAGUAGAGGUGGGCGGAAUUCGUGGUGUAGCGGUGAAAUGCUUAGAUAUCACGAAGAACUCCGAUUGCGAAGGCAGUUCACUGGACUGCAACUGACACUGAGGCUCGAAAGUGUGGGUAUCAAACAGGAUUAGAUACCCUUGUAGUC